AUGCAUCGUGUUUGCUUCAAAGUAAGGACAAAGAAGUCAAUUUUUUUGUCUAUGACAUUCGGCCGAACACUUGUUGGGCAUGGUGUCCUCCAUGAACGACAUCUGAAGUGGCAGAAGGUAUAUGGAGAACUGUCGGGUCAAGGGUGGUUCCACAGUGUUGCUGGUCUAACGGUGGAGGUCCGUCAAGGCCUCGGCGGUGGCGCAGCGACGACGUUGGAUCUGGGAGGUAGCGGAUCCAGAGAAGGAAUGAGGGACGGAGCGAGGAAAACAAAGGGUCUGGGUUGGGUUUUUGAGGCUUCCCCAAUUUCGUUGCAGAUCGUCUGGAAAAUAAAUAGAUGA
rnacentral:rRNA from 1 species